ACCCAAACGGUUUUAUUAAUAUGAUGCUUCUGUAUAGAUGAGCGGUACGGACCUUGGAUAUGUUGGAUAGAUGAUUCAAAUAUUUUGUUCUUUCUUUGAAUCUCAGUUGGGUUUGCAUUGGGUUUAUUUUGGAAGAGUAAAAAACAUACUUCAGAGUCGGUGGGUUACUUUGCUUUGUAAUUCUCUUAAACAGAGUCCAUACCUUGAUAAAUUUUGCAAAAUUAUUAUGUGUUGGUCUUUUUGUUUGUAAUUUUGUUACUUGGGUGACCAUGAUUCAAAUUGCUUUCCAUAUUUAUCAAACUUUACUUUUAAAAAAUAGCAAUUCCUUUUUUAAAAAAAUAAAGAAAAUGCAGAACUCUAAUAGAUUUAUUAGGUUUUAUUCAUGAGUUUGUAUUUCAAUUUCAUCGGGCAAAUCAUCAAGUUGAGGCUUUUAAUAUUUAACUGUAUUUUUCUGCAUUCAGAGUUAAUCCAAAACCGUAUUAUUCAAUCAAAGAUGAGCCACUUGGUGGCUUGAAGUCCAUUAGCUAAUAGAGGCUACUUCAGUGCACUUUGUUUGACUAUGGCUAGAAUUCUCUGUAUGUUGCAGCAUGCAGCUGGAGUUUCACAGUUUUUUUCCCCAGUAAACUACUAGAGUUUCACAUUUCAGUUUGGAAAAAGGUCUCUAUAACAUGAUAAUAGUAAUUUUGCUUGGAUUUGUUACUCAAGGAAUAGAGGCUUAAGGACUUCCUCAUUGUCUGUGUCGAGAAUUGUCCAGCAUCGAAAUCAGAGAUGUAUCAUCAUGCUUGCACUCACGCUCACGGAGGUAGAUUUUCUCACAGUGCCCUGACUUCUGCAAGUAUGUCUGCCUGGUGAGGAUGAAAACCACCUGAAUGAAGCAGCAUGCUAAUCAGAUAUGUGGGUCACAAAAGAUUCGUAGCUUAUGCUCCUCAUGGUAUCCUAUCAAAGAUCCCUUUAAUAUCAUGUUGCUAAAGAAGUCUAAUCUGGACAUAUUUGUUAUCAGUUAUGGAAAUCGAAAGAAAAAAAAAAUCAUGCUAAUAAUUAUAUAUUUGUUAAUUCAA